UGGCUCUGAGGGCUGGGC
rnacentral:siRNA from 1 species